UACGGAGGGUGCAAGCGUUAUCCGGAUUCACUGGGUUUAAAGGGUGCGUAGGAGGGCAGGUAAGUCAGUGGUGAAAUCCCCGAGCUUAACUUGGGAACUGCCGUUGAUACUAUCUGUCUUGAAUAUCGUGGAGGUAAGCGGAAUAUGUCAUGUAGCGGUGAAAUGCUUAGAUAUGACAUAGAACACCUAUUGCGAAGGCAGCUUACUACGCAUAUAUUGACGCUGAGGCACGAAAGCGUGGGGAUCAAACAGG
rnacentral:rRNA from 1 species